UUAAUGAGAAUAUUUUCAUUUAUUAAUUUUAACUCAUUUAAAAUUAAUUUCCAUGAUGUAAAAUUAACUUACGAGAUUACGGCAUAUAAAAAAA
rnacentral:sRNA from 1 species